GUAGGUGGCAAGCGUUGUCCGGAAUUAUUGGGCGUAAAGCGCGCGCAGGCGGUUCUUUAAGUCUGAUGUGAAAGCCCACGGCUCAACCGUGGAGGGUCAUUGGAAACUGGAGAACUUGAGUACAGAAGAGGAAAGCGGAAUUCCACGUGUAGCGGUGAAAUGCGUAGAGAUGUGGGGGAACACCAGUGGCGAAGGCGGCUUUCUGGUCUGUAACUGACGCUGAGGCGCGAAAGCGUGGGGAGCAAACAGGGAUUAGAUACCCUGGUAGUCCACGCCGUAAACGAUGAGUGCUAAGUGUUAGGGGGUUUCCGCCCCCUUAGUGCUGCAGCUAACGCAUUAAGCACUCCGCCUGGGGAUACGGCCGCAAGGCUG
rnacentral:rRNA from 1 species